GACGAACGCUGGCGGCGUGCUUAACACAUGCAAGUCGAACGGAAAGGCCCUGCUUUUGUGGGGUGCUCGAGUGGCGAGCGGGUGAGUAACACGUGAGUAACCUGCCCUUGACUUUGGGAUAACUUCAGGAAACUGGGGCUAAUACCGGAUAGGAGCUCCUGCUGCAUGGUGGGGGUUGGAAAGUUUCGGCGGUUGGGGAUGGACUCGCGGCUUAUCAGCUUGUUGGUGGGGUAGUGGCUUACCAAGGCUUUGACGGGUAGCCGGCCUGAGAGGGUGACCGGGCACGGUGGGGCUGAGUGAAGGCCGGGAGGGCGACGGGAGGCAGCAGGGGGGAAGAGUGCGGAAGGGGGGGAGGCCUGAUGCAGCAAUGUCGCGUGCGGGAGGGUGGGCGUAGGGUGGGAAAACGAAUGCGCCUGGGACGAAGCGGGAGGGGCGGGAAGGAGUAAGGAAGCGCCGGCGCGCUACGUG
rnacentral:rRNA from 1 species